AACGAACGCUGGCGGCAGGCUUAACACAUGCAAGUCGAGCGCCCCGCAAGGGGAGCGGCAGACGGGUGAGUAACGCGUGGGAAUCUACCCUUUUCUACGGAAUAACGCAUGGAAACGUGUGCUAAUACCGUAUGAGCCCUUCGGGGGAAAGAUUUAUCGGGAAAGGAUGAGCCCGCGUUGGAUUAGCUAGUUGGUGGGGUAAAGGCCUACCAAGGCGACGAUCCAUAGCUGGUCUGAGAGGAUGAUCAGCCACAUUGGGACUGAGACACGGCCCAAACUCCUACGGGAGGCAGCAGUGGGGAAUAUUGGACAAUGGGCGCAAGCCUGAUCCAGCCAUGCCGCGUGAGUGAUGAAGGCCCUAGGGUUGUAAAGCUCUUUCACCGGUGAAGAUAAUGACGGUAACCGGAGAAGAAGCCCCGGCUAACUUCGUGCCAGCCGCCGCUGUAACAC
rnacentral:rRNA from 1 species